rnacentral:rRNA from 1 species
GGAAGUGCCUCGCAAGAGGAGCCUGGAGACAGGUGCUGCAUGGCUGUCGUCAGCUCGUGUCGUGAGAUGUUGGGUUAAGUCCCGCACGAGCGCAACCCUUGUCUUUAGUUGCCAUCAUUCAGUUGGGCACUCUAAAGAGACUGCCGGUGUCAAAACCGGAGGAAGGUGGGGAUGACGUCAAGUCCUCAUGGCCUUUAUGACCAGGGCUACACACGUACUACAAUGGCCGGUACAAAGGGCAGCCACUUAGCGAUAAGGAGCCAAUCCCGUAAAGCCGGUCUCAGUCCGGAUUGGAGUCUGCAACUCGACUCCAUGAAGUUGGAAUCGCUAGUAAUCGCAGAUCAGCACGCUGCGGUGAAUACGUUCCCGGGCCUU